rnacentral:ncRNA from 1 species
UAAAGGCUUGGUCCUGACUUUACUAUUAGCUUUAACCUAAUUUAUACAUGCAAGUGUCCGCACCCCUGUGAGAAUGCCCUCAAUCCCCCGCCCGGGGACGAGGAGCAGGCAUCAGGCGCGCCCCCGCAGCCCAAGACGCCUUGCUACGCCACACCCCCAAGGGAUUUCAGCAGUAAUAAACAUUAAGCCAUAAGUGAAAACUUGACUUAGUUAAGGUCAUACAGGGUCGGUAAAAUUCGUGCCAGCCACCGCGGUUAUACGAAAGACCCUAGUUAAUAGCCACGGCGUAAAGGGUGGUUAAGGAAUAUAACAAAUAAAGCUAAAGACCCUCUAAGCCGUUAUACGCACUCCGAGGACACGAAGCCCAAACACGAAAGUAGCUUUAAACCCCUCCUGACUCCACAAAAGCUAAGAAACAAACUGGGAUUAGAUACCCCACUAUGCUUAGCCAUAAACCCAGAUGUGCUUUUACAACACAUUCGCCAGGGUACUACGAGCACAGCUUAAAACCCAAAGGACUUGGCGGUGUCUCAGACCCACCUAGAGGAGCCUGUUCUAGAACCGAUAACCCCCGUUAAACCUCACCACUUCUUGUUUUCCCCGCCUAUAUACCGCCGUCGUCAGCUUACCCUGUGAAGGCCUAGCAGUAAGCAAAAUGGAUACAUCCAAAAACGUCAGGUCGAGGUGUAGCGUACGAAGUGGGAAGAAAUGGGCUACAUUUUCUAAAUAACAGAAUAUUUACGGACGGCACCUUGAAAGUAAGUGCCCGAAGGUGGAUUUAGUAGUAAAAAGCAAAUAGAGAGUCCUUUUGAAUUAGGCUCUGAGACGCGCACACACCGCCCGUCACUCUCCCCUCCAAUAAAAAAUUUUAUACAUACAUAAUAACUCAACUACAAACACGGGGAGGCAAGUCGUAACAUGGUAAGUGUACCGGAAGGUGCACUUGGAACAAU